AUUGAACGCUGGCGGCAGGCCUAACACAUGCAAGUCGAACGAGUGGCGGACGGGUGAGUAAUGUCUGGGAAACUGCCCGAUGGAGGGGGAUAACUACUGGAAACGGUAGCUAAUACCGCAUACCAUCGGAUGUGCCCAGAUGGGAUUAGGUAGUAGGUGGGGUAAAGGCUCACCAAGGCGACGAUCCCUAGCUGGUCUGAGAGGAUGACCAGCCACACUGGGACGUAGACACGGCCCAGACGCCUACGGGAGGCAGCAGUGGGGAAUAUUGCACAAGGGGGGAAAGCCUGAUGCAGCCAUGCCGCGUGUAUGAAGAAGGCCUUCGGGUUGUAAAGUACUUUCAGUGGGGAGGCGUUACCUACAGAAGAAGCACCGGCUAACUCCGUGCCAGCAGCCGCGGUAAUAC
rnacentral:rRNA from 1 species